CCAGCUGUUGAGACUAAGGCGAAUGCGACUGGGUGCUGUCUGACCCUUGGCUCCUCGUUGGGGGUGGCGAAUAUAGGUGGGAUCUGGAGUCUUAGUGGGGGUACCCGAGGCUGGCUCCCCACUGUAAGGCCAGAUCGAUAGCACUACUGGCCUUGCCUCCAUUUCUGCUGCUGCGCCCAGUUCUCAGCAGCAGCCUUCAGGGAGGCCCACAGGUGGAGCCCAAAGAAGAGGAAAAAAAAAAAGGAAAAAGAAAAAUAACGAAAAUAUCAGCAUGGAUUACA
rnacentral:snoRNA from 1 species